UGGGGAACCUGCCCCAUAGUCUGGGAUACCACUUGGAAACAGGUGCUAAUACCGGAUAAGAAAGCAGAUCGCAUGAUCAGCUUUUAAAAGGCGGCGUAAGCUGUCGCUAUGGGAUGGCCCCGCGGUGCAUUAGCUAGUUGGUAAGGUAAAGGCUUACCAAGGCGAUGAUGCAUAGCCGAGUUGAGAGACUGAUCGGCCACAUUGGGACUGAGACACGGCCCAAACUCCUACGGGAGGCAGCAGAG
rnacentral:rRNA from 1 species